GACGAACGCUGGCGGCGUGCCUAAUACAUGCAAGUCGAACGCUUCUUUCCUCCCGAGUGCUUGCACUCAAUUGGAAAGAGGAGUGGCGGACGGGUGAGUAACACGUGGGUAACCUACCCAUCAGAGGGGGAUAACACUUGGAAACAGGUGCUAAUACCGCAUAACAGUUUAUGCCGCAUGGCAUAAGAGUGAAAGGCGCUUUCGGGUGUCGCUGAUGGAUGGACCCGCGGUGCAUUAGCUAGUUGGUGAGGUAACGGCUCACCAAGGCCACGAUGCAUAGCCGACCUGAGAGAGUGAUCGGCCACACUGGGACUGAGACACGGCCCAGACUCCUACGGGAGGCAGCAGUAGGGAAUCUUCGGCAAAGGACGAAAGUCUGACCGAGCAACGCCGCGUGAGUGAAGAAGGUUUUCGGAUCGUAAAACUCUGUUGUUAGAGAAGAACAAGGACGUUAGUAACUGAACGUCCCCUGACGGUAUCUAACCAGAAAGCCACGGCUAACUACGUG
rnacentral:rRNA from 1 species